AACGAACGCUGGCGGCAGGCUUAACACAUGCAAGUCGAACGCCCCGCAAGGGGAGUGGCGCACGGGUGAGUAACGCGUGGGAAUAUGCCCUUCGGUUCGGAAUAACACAGGGAAACUUGUGCUAAUACCGGAUACGAUCUACGGAUGAAAGAUUUAUCGCCGAGGGAGUAGCCCGCGUAGGAUUAGCUAGUUGGUGAGGUAAUGGCUCACCAAGGCGACGAUCCUUAGCUGGUCUGAGAGGAUGAUCAGCCACACUGGGACUGAGACACGGCCCAGACGCCUACGGGAGGCAGCAGUGGGGAAUAUUGGACAAUGGGGGAAACCCUGAUCCUGCCAUGCCGCGUGAGUGAUGAAGGCCUUAGGGUUGUAAAGCUCUUUCGCCAGGGAAGAUAAUGACGGUACCUGGAAAAGAAGCCUCGGCUAACUCCGUGCCAGCCGCCGCAGUAACAC
rnacentral:rRNA from 1 species